CAGUCGAACGAGCGAGAGAGAGCUUGCUUUCUCGAGCGAGUGGCGAACGGGUGCGUAACGCGUGAGGAACCUGCCUCAAAGAGGGGGACAACAGUUGGAAACGACUGCUAAUACCGCAUAAGCCCACGGGUCGGCAUCGACCAGAGGGAAAAGGAGUAAUCCGCUUUGAGAUGGCCUCGCGUCCGAUUAGCUAGUUGGUGAGGUAACGGCCCACCAAGGCGACGAUCGGUAGCCGGACUGAGAGGUUGAACGGCCACAUUGGGACUGAGACACGGCCCAGACUCCUACGGGAGGCAGCAGUGGGGAAUAUUGCACAAUGGGGGAAACCCUGAUGCAGCGACGCCGCGUGGAGGAAGAAGGUCUUCGGAUUGUAAACUCCUGUUGUUGGGGAAGAUAAUGACGGUACCCAACAAGGAAGUGACGGCUAACUACGUGCCAGCAGCCGCGGUAAAACGUAGGUCACAAGCGUUGUCCGGAAUUACUGGGUGUAAAGGGAGCGCAGGCGGGAAGACAAGUUGGAAGUGAAAUCUAUGGGCUCAACCCAUAAACUGCUUUCAAAACUGUUUUUCUUGGGUAGUGCAGAGGUAGGCGGAAUUCCCGGUGUAGCGGUGGAAUGCGUAGAUAUCGGGAGGAACACCAGUGGCGAAGGCGGCCUACUGGGCACCAACUGACGCUGAGGCUCGAAAGUGUGGGUAGCAAACAGGAUUAGAUACCCUGGUAGUCCACACCG
rnacentral:rRNA from 1 species